rnacentral:misc_RNA from 1 species
UAACCCCUCCAGCUUGCUGGGUCUUGGGCCUCGCCUCCGGGCGGGCCUUAAAAUCAGUGGCGGCCCUGCCGGGUCCUGAGCGCAGUAACUUUUCUCGCUACAGGGCUCCGACGGGUGCUGGCCAGCAACCCCAUCUUUCUAAU